rnacentral:tRNA from 1 species
GCGUCAUUAGCUCAAGCGGCAGAGCAGCUGACUCUUAAUCAGCGGGUUUGGGGUUCGAGUCCCUGAUGACGCACCA